rnacentral:lncRNA from 1 species
CUUGUUGGGAAAGUGGUCCCUUGUGAUCGAGUGCGUGUGCGGAAAAUGAGAAUUGACAAACCAAGUAGGUGAAAAGGAAUUUGUACUCUGCAAAGAGCAAGCGUCAAUCUUUUUCUAAUACUCUGAAAAGGUUCUCUGUGAUUUUUGUUGGUCAACAUGCGAUUAACUUUUUGAACUCCAAGACUACAUGAUUUGAUGAAUUUUUUGUUUCAAUUUUGGGAUUUUCAUAGGAAAUGAAAUAAAAAAGUGAUGGAAAUUACUUAUUACUAUUUAUUUGUAUGAUCAAACAAAAAUAAUUAUUUGGCAAAUUUUGAACAAUUUACCGUUCAAUAAAAAGUAAAAGUUACAAAACAUUCAAACACUCACUUCAACACAUAUUUAUACUAACUCUUCAACACAUGAGGUGGGACCUAUCAAAAUCUAUAACAAUGAACUAAAGCGAGGUUCACUGCUUUUUUGUUAGAUUGUAGCAAAUAUGUUCUGUGUGAUUCAUUGAAUAAUGUAAAACAAUGCACUGGAUAAUCUCUCCAUCUUGUGGUUGAAUUUUCUGUAAGACAACAUGAAAUUGAGUAUUCAUCAUCCUUUUGGAAAUAACUUUGAACAUAUUUAUCUAGGAUCUCUCAUUGUAUUGGGAGGGUCAUUUGCAUAGGGCUUGGGAAGAAAGUUUGGAAGGGUUUCAAACACCCUUUAAACCAAUAUCUUAAGGCUUGUGAGGCAGGCAACAACUUUUACUGAUUGAUAUCAACAAUUCUGAUAAGUCAGAAACAAGCCAAAGCUAUCCAAAUUUGUCUUAAUACAUUGCCUAUUCUUCACAAUGGGUGGCCUAGAGCACUGAAUCGGUAUGAUUUUUUUUUUUUUUUUAACUUCAAGCCAAAGCUUCCAAAUUUGUCUUAAACACCCUUUAAACAAAUUGGUAUGAUUUUUUUUUAACUUCAUAUACUUUUUCUUGUCUUUCCUUUCUUUUUUCUUUUCACUCCAUACAUAUAAUGACAAAAGCGUAAACAGAGAUAAACAAGAAUUAAAAAACACACUGAAAUACUAAUACUACUACUACUACUACUACUACUAAUAAUGGGAAGUUAAAAACUGAUCUAGCCUAAAUUUAAAAUAAUUAAGGAAUAAUGCAUGCACUAAGAAAAGAAGAAGAAGCAACACGAGUACAAAGUUCUUCCACCAUUUCAUAUAUGCGCCUAAAGCAUAAUAAACUGUACAGACAAGACAAUUGAAUUUAUACAAAUUCAUCCAUUUGUCAUCAUUACCCAAAAACUAAAAAAAGAAAAUUAGAGCGACAUGUCACUUGAAACUUCUGCACACAAGCACUACUUAUGUCCAUGUAACUAAAGCCUGGUACCUGAAACAGAGGGAAAAAGUUGGUACUAAUCAACGGAGUGCAGUGUUUAAGUAAAAAUAAGUAUUAGUAGCAUAUUAUUUGUAUAUCUAUGCAUAUAGACAUGAAAAAUAAAAAUAUAUACCUGUUUUGAGCAGAAAAAUAAAUGUUGGUGCCAUCACCAUGGCAGUCUAUUGAUCGCUGGUUUGUGCAAGAAACAAGACGGUAGAUUGGGAAUUGUGGCGUUGGAAGGUCGACACAUAGAUGGAUUUCCAGAACCAGGCCACGCCCACUUAAUUUUGUGCACUUCACAAGGUCUAUAGCCUGUUUGUUUCUUGAUAGCCGACACUAUCUUCAGGGGAGUGUAAAAAUUUAGACCCGGUGUGAUAUCUGUAAAAAUGUUUGAAUUAAAAAUAUGUUGGAAGUAUCAAUAAGAAGCUCUAUCAAAACUCCUGAAAUUGAAACAAAAAUCAUUCAGAUUUAGACAUACUGGAGAGACGAAGUGCAUUUAGCAGAUUGAUCUCAUUUUUGAGACGGAGGGCAGUGCGAAAGUAAACAAGAGGGUCCAAGUUGGAGCAAGUUCCAUGCUUGUUCCACUGAUAUUUCCAAAAAUCAAAAUUUGCUUCCCUCUGGUUUUUGUGCCCAAGCUCUUCUAAACCACAGAGACUUGGCCAAUGCUGGCUAAGAGAAGAAGUGAUGUCUCCUUGCUACAAAAAAAAAAUUAAAAACAUCAAACAAAUUAAAAGAACAAGUAGAAUAAAGGAAUGAGGGACAGUGUAAUCACAUUUUCAAGCCUUAAUCGUGUGUUUGAUGGACAAAACUCAGCAUUGAGCCAUUCCGCCAAACUGGCCAAAACCCAUGGAGGGUGAAGUCUUGAGGAACGGGACGAUAACAGUUGGGAUUAACGCGGCAAAACCCAUUUGGCCAUGUUAGCACCAGGGUGAAGGAACGGAGGUCCUCUUCCCCAUAGACAGGAAAGACUACAAGCAAGGUGAGGAGGACUAUCGAUGCAACUUCCAUUUCUCCAAACUGUCUGUUUGUUUACAACACUUCAAUUUUUGUUUGGAGAACUAUUGAGCAAACAGCACUUUAUAUUGGUUAGGAGUUGGAACCACCCAUGAAAAAAUUACACUUUGCCCCUUUAAGUAUUGACUAUGUUCUCUCUUUGGUCCACAAACAAACGAUAUUGCCACAUUGACCCUUAACUUAUUAUUUUUUCUGAAUUAGAACCAAUCCUCUAAUUCCAUCCAAAUUGUUAACGGAAAUGGCACACGGGGCAAUGCCAGUGCCACAGAACUGCCAUAUCAAUGCCAAACCCAAAACCUAAUCCUCGCUAGUACUUCCCCCACCCCACAACCGACCACCCUCCACAGCCGAUCAAUCUACACCCCAACCCCUGCCCUCACAAAAGCUCCCCAUUCCAUCAACCACAACCACAUUAAAGCACACUAGCACCUCCCCAAGGGCCCCAACAGCUUUGACCCGCACCAGACUUGCAAAUUGUUAGCGUCGCCGUCGCCGUCACCAAAGUCACAAGCUGCCACUGCUGCCACUACCUUGCAUAGCCAUGGGAGGAGUAGGAGAGGGGAACGACCUAGGUUGCAGCAAUGGGAGGAGUAGGAGAGGGAGAGGAGAAGGUUGAGGGCUAGUAAAUGUGAGAAGAACUGCAAGAGUGGCGAAAGGGGAGGAGAGAGAGAUGAUUGGUACUGGGCUUUAACACAAGGACCGAGGCUCAUUGGUCCUCGUAGUUUGACCAACGUUUCACUUUGGUUCUUAAAAGAGGUCAUGUGAGUUUCAGGUGCUCACGUUUCACUCUGCAACUUCGCAGUCGUUUCCACUGUAAUUGAGUCUCCAAAAAUACAUUAUAAAAUAUAGCAAGAUUAAAAAGUUUCGCAAGUUUUAAAAUGAGUCAUUUCUUCUAGGGUAAAUUAUAUUGGCAACCUCUGCAUUUCUUGAGAUUACACUGUCGUCCCCUUAAUUCCUUGAAACAACACUGGCACCCAUGCCAGAUAACAAUGUUAAAAUAACAUUGAAUGUUACCAUAAUGCCUUCCCCUCUCUCGUCUCACCACCGCCCUUUUAAGUCCUCUUUGUCAACCAACUUUACCACCCCUCCUCCCACCACCAUCCCCAACAUCAUCACCCCAUAUCUCUACCAUUCUACCAAAUGUAACAGCUUAAUUUUUACAUUCAACAGACGAUGAACUGGAUUUGCUAUCCAAAAUCCUAGAAUUAUGUAAAUUUCCUAAAAUCCUAGAAGCAAUUGUACUAUCUAAACUAAGCUUGGGAGUUGAGGAUUAUGUGAGCUUUUUGAGCGUUUUUCAAUGGAACUAAAGUAUGUAAAAGAAUGGAAUUUUAACAGGAGAGAUACGACAUCACGCCAAUCGUUCAGGAAAAUCACUAAAAACAAUUUUUAAGAGUAUAAACACUCGAGAUAAACAAUAAAGUGGAAUACAUGCACAGCCAUCCAUUUCAUUUAACCAACCAUCCCAUUCAAGGACGAACUCCAUACAUAACACACAUCUAUUGCAUAGAGUGCAAAUAGCAUAACCUUGCAAGCUACUCAUAUACGUAGUUUCAAUACCUAAAAGAGGAGGAACCAAAUAGGUAAACAAAAAAUUAGCACACACAUCUUCUCUACCAUGGCAAAGAGCAGUAGACUUGAUUUCUCAUGUUAAAGACCCACUUUCAUGUAACAUAAGAACAUUUGUAAAGGCUUCAUAUUCUUUUUUAAAUUCUAGAUAUUAACUCAACACUCGACCAUUCAAGUAAAGAAAAUACAAAAAACACAUCUAACAAUUAUUUUGUUACCAUUUGUUUGGAAUGUUUCAAGAUCCUUUGUAUGUAAAUAUGUAGUAGUUGGAACUAUACUUAAAGAAUACAGUGCCAAAACAGGGCAACAUUAUGCAAAAAAGAACACCAUUUUGUAGUCCCCAAACUAAGUUGUUUUAUUAUAUAGAUACAAUUUAACGUAAAUUAAUGAACAAGAAAGAAAAUUGAAAGGGUAUAUCAAAUGCAUAAAAAAACAACAUACUCGAUCCUUUUUUCUUUGUUUCACUUUAUUUUCCACUAUAAUUUUUUACUCUGACCAAAUGGACCACAAAAGAGGUUUUUUGUGUCAAAAGUUCCGGUAAAUUAGAUUACCACUAACGGGUAUUCGAUGCUUCUUCGUAAGUUCGAACCUGAAGCCUCAUUUUUGGAAGCCAAGAUGUACAACCACUUGACCUAGGCUGAAAACUCGAUAAAAUGAGGAUUCUGGUACAACAAAUAUGUGCAUGUAAUUUGCAGUAGUAGCCUGCAUAGUUGCAAAUCAAGCAUUUUGGGUCCAUGUUUAGCCCAUUUUGAUGAUUCAAACCGUUCAUAUUGUAGACCUCAUCGAGGAGUUUAGUACUGUAAAAAUUUACGUUGAUCGGAUACUUUAGACACCCCAGUUUGAUUGGUCAUAAUUCGUAGUCUCGCCGUUGGAUUGUUGUCCGAUGACGAAGAAACUUUGAAGGAUUAAAUUCACGGAGAAAUGAAAGUUUUGGACCAUCUCGGAUAGCUCAAGAUUUUGAAAGGGUAUUUCAGUAAUUUUAGAAGUGAGGGACGGUAGUUUUGCUAGUUUAAGAGCAUGAAUUCAUGAAGAAUCUUUUCCUAAACUUUAGAAGUGUUCUUGCAAUUUUACAAAAUUUUGG